UACGAAGGGGGCUAGCGUUGCUCGGAAUUACUGGGCGUAAAGCGCACGUAGGCGGCUUUCUAAGUCGGGGGUGAAAUCCUGGAGCUCAACUCCAGAACUGCCUUCGAUACUGGAAAGCUCGAGUCCGGAAGAGGUGAGUGGAAUUCCUAGUGUAGAGGUGAAAUUCGUAGAUAUUAGGAAGAACACCAGUGGCGAAGGCGGCUCACUGGUCCGGUACUGACGCUGAGGUGCGAAAGCGUGGGGAGCAAACAGG
rnacentral:rRNA from 1 species